GCCUCGGUGGUGUAAUGGAGAGCACAGCAGACCGGAUAUCUGUAAGUGCGGGUACGAGUCCCGCCUGAGGUU
rnacentral:tRNA from 1 species